rnacentral:lncRNA from 1 species
CCCGCCCCGCCGGGUUCCGCGCUGCGCCCGGGUCCGAGGGGCGCCCCGGCCGACCCGACCACCGCCGCAGAUCGAAGGAGGGAGCCCGGCCUCCUCACCGGUCAGCGGGGCGACUCCGGACGGGGCUCCGGGCUAUGGGGACGGCGGGUUCCGCCGCGCGAGGCGCCCCCACCUUCGCCGCCCCCGGCCCGGCCGAGGGUCCCCAGGCGCCCGCUUCCUGAGGCCGCCCGGCUCGCGGUCCCGAAGGGUUGACUUGAGCUUUUGCCCUGAGAUGAAGGGAGCACGGGGCGGCCGAGGCUGCCCGUGGGGGUCUGUUCGGGCCGGGGGCGCCACGAAGUCCUGCCUAAGGGUCGGCUGCGGCCACCGGGGCACGAGUUCCCGGCGCUGCCCACGGGCUCGGAGACCGGCGGGGCCCAGGGGCCGUGCGCGCGGUCGCUCAGACCCUGAUUAGGGAACUGGGGGAAGGAGGGGGGUCGGGACCCACCGAGGCCCGAAGUCGCCCCCACCAUCCUGUGGGAACAACAUCCUCAGGCACAGCCAUUCCCAACCAUUCACAUCCUCAGAAAAAGGCACGUGUCCGUAUCCAUCUGCGGAUGGAUGAACAGAGCCCGGCCCCGGGACAGAGCAGCCUGGCUCACCCGAACCCUCAGCCCGCAAUUCUGCGUGGGAGUGGAGGGGGUGUUUGGUGUCUGGGAAUUCCCCUGGUGGGGCAAUAAGCCAGGGGUCUGGUGUCAUCCUCCACCCACAUUGUUAACACUGGAUCACUCCUCUCCGUGCCGUGCCUGCAGCCCAGGCACCCUGCAGCCUGUCCUCCCCGAACCAUGCGUCCUGGUAGAGCUGUCUCCCUCGCCCACAGUCCUCAGUCCCGCCUCACACACCAAACCCUCUUCUGCCUCAGGUCCUUUGCGCCAGUUGCCUCUGCCUAGACUUGGUUCCCUGGAUGCCCCCUCCCCACCCCAUGUGUAUGUCCGGCUCCCUGGACCCACCCCCCACACUGUGUGUCUAGCCCCCUGGACCCACCCCCCACUCUGUGUCUAGUCCCCUGGACUCCCCUCCCCACCCCCUGUGUCUAGCUCCCUGGACCCCCAACCUGGCCCAUGUGUCCAACUCCCAGGACCCCCCCACCCUGUGUCCAGCUCCCUGGUUUCCCCCACCACCCCAUGUGUUUGGCUCCCUGUCCUGCUGCCUUCUCAGUGCUUGUGCACCCCCAGCCUCAUCAGACUUGUCACUCUAUUAGAACAGGAUGUAGGGCCUGGACUGUUGGCUCCCUGCUACCCCCACCCACAGGACAGUGCUGGGGUUGACCCGACUUUGGCUGCACAUUUGACUGGCCCCUGGAUCAGCUCUAGGACUAGAUGUACCCAAAAGGAUGCCCACAUCCUUGCCUCAGCUCCUGCCUCUGCCCACCCAGAGAGCUGCCUUGCCCCCAUGUCCACGAUGCAGCCACCAGGCCUGGGUAAGCGUGGGUGUCCGAGACGGGCUGGGACACCCAGAAGAGGAGCCAGGACUUGCUUGGUCUAAGAGGAAGAGACACCAGGAGUGAGCACACAGAGGAGAGGCCACAUGAGGACGCAGGGAGAGGGUGCCGUCUGCAAGCCAUGGAGAGGCCUCAGGAGGAACCCACCCUGCCGGCAGCCUGAUCCCUGACAUCCAGACUCCGGAAGUGAGAAAAUAAAUGUCGUUUAAGCCGCCCAGGCUGUGGUGUUGAGUUAUGCGGCCCUAGCAGGUCAUUUGUCACGUCAUGGGUA